AAACCGUAAUUAUCUGCAGAUUGGCCGUCGAAGACUGCGAGAGUCAACCAUCUUGUCCCUGAUCAUUGGUCAGCACACGGCGAUCUUUCCUGCCUUCUCGUGAGAGUGAUUAAUAUGUUAUAUUCUUGAUCAUAUACAUAUAUCAAUCCUUCUUGCUGCUGGAUUUCAUCUUCUAAUAGCAAACUGGAUAUCAGUUCUUUCAGAUGAUUCUUGGAGACCUUCUUUUUCUUGGGCUAUUUAGGUUGGGAACCGCUAGGGUCUGGAUAAAGUUGGGUUCUUGAUUGGAUUACCGGUUCGUUUGUGGUGGCUCGAUUGGGGUUUCUUCGUCGCCCUCCUUCUUUCUCCCUGUUCCGUUUGAGGCAUUCCUAAAUGUGUAACUUCGUGUGGUUUCUCGAGUUUGUUUUCUUUAUUCUUCAAUUGGCUCUCGAUGUCUAGGGCUGUUUGUCCAGUUUGGGCUGGUUUAGGUUUCUUCUUCGCCAUGGCGAUCUGCUGAGCGUGCUUGCUAUUGAUCGAGGAAGUGAUCUAGACUAUCACCCUGGAGCGUCUUGUUUCUUGGAUUGAGAUGGCCAUGGAGCAGAGAGUCCAUGAGAUUUUAGAGGCGAUUAGGGUUUAAGUUCCGACUGUUUAAGGGAUUGUUUGAGAUGGACUGCUUGCAGCUGGGUUGGAAAGCUGAUGGAUUUCGUCGGCAAAGGCAGGUAUGUUUUCUCUGCUUCUUGUUGAUUAGUCUCUCACUUUUGAUUUUGAUGAACAAAAUUUCACAAAGAAUCUUUGAUUGGUGAUUAAACUCUGCUAUUUCUGUGAGGGGAUUUUUAUUGAAUUUGAUGUCAUUAGCUCUGAUGUUUAAAGUGAUAACUCUGGUGACAAAAAAAAAGAAUCAUAUCUUUUGUAUGUUUGUGUCUGUUUGGUGAUUAGGUUAUUGUGUUUGUUCUAUCUAAAAAUUGCUAUGCUUCAGCAUUGAGUUUGAGAUAUAGUGGAUUUUCCAAUGCAAAUGAUAGUAAUAUCUGAUAUUCUUCGAGCCAAAUGACGGUAACAUUUGAUGUUCUUUGAGCAAAAUGAUAGUAAUAUUUGAUAUUCCUCAAAUAUGAACUUUGUACUGGCUAUGAAGUUGGGCAUGUAAUUUCGAGGAGAAGUUGUUUGUGAUGUAGGAUUCGGUUUAACUAAUAAUGAAGUCAAAUUUAUAUUAUAGAUCACCUUGUUUAUUAGAACGAACAAUCUCUUCAUUAAGUUACAUAAAAGGCAUUGAUGGUGAUGUAAUUGUGGUGAAAUGUUCAUUCCUGAGCCAAAUUCUUGAUUGGAAAUAAUAUCUUGUGAUCCUCUUGCCUGACAAAUUUUUUUUCCAAAGUGAAGGUAUCGAUACAGCAGUUUUAUAUUGAGUAAUAGAGACAAAAAAAAAAAGUAUUGGUUGUUUCUUAUUAUGCUUGCUGGUCAUGAUAAAGUUGACAAGAUUUUCUUAUUUGUUGAGAUUGCAACUUAUGUUCUGGAGGAAGAUGUAAUCAAAUUCUCUAUGAGAAUUUAACGACUUGAAACUUUUUCCCUAAAACUAUAAUUCUCACUUACCAUCUCAAAUUUUUUUUUCUGAAGGUAAUCUCCUUCACGUGAUUUAAUUCUACAGAGUUUAGGCACUGUUAAGCUUACCGAUUCAGGCGAAUAGUAUCCACAAAGCUGUGGUCAUCUAUCUUUGUUUUGAUUUUAACCUUUUAACAUUUGUGUGUAUUAUCAUUAGUCCAUGAGUGCAUGCUUACUUCAGAAUUAAAUUUACACCACUGUUUUCGAGUAAAGAAUAUACUGCUCACUUAAGUCAAUUCUUUGUUAACAAAGUUCAGUAAUCGUUAGAAAUAUGAUUAUGUUUCCGUUUUAGGUUAUGCACAAGUGAUGUGACUGUUGAAGUUGGGGAGAGAAUCUUUCUUCUUCACAAGAUAAUAAUUCUUCAUCAUUCAUCCUUAUUAGGCUGUUAAUCUCAGGUUGUGCAGAGUUCAUAUAUUCUGUUCAAAUUCAAAAUGAAAACAUAAUGACAUCUUUUUGUUGAAUCAUUAAUAUUGAUAUUUGAGAACAAGGAGAUUAAACAAUAAUUAUUCUGGCUUUUUCUACUGGUUUUUUCAAAGUUAAAACUAAAUACUAGAUGAAUCUUAUAGGAUGCAAAUUGCAGUUUGAUUGUUGCAGUUCCUCAAUUCCACUGCCAGGCUUAUAAUCAUCACUAGUUAUACAAUUACAAAUUUAGUAUUUGACGAACUCAUGUUCCUAAUCUCAACAACCGCAACAACAACGGAAACAAACAUCGUGCCAUCGACGUAGGUAAACGGGCACAUCCAUGGCUUCUCACAGAAGAGUGUCAGAGGGAAGAGCUAUUCCAGCCGAUGAACUGCUAACCAGCGAGAACAGUGGCUGAAGGUGAGCUUUGAUGAUGGUGUCUGAAAUCCAAAAAGAGUGCUCAAGCAUGAAAAGAACUCGACACUGCUAAAAGGUUCGAUAAGGGCUAAUUAAAGCUUACAAUUCACAAGAAACAAUUGUUGACAGGCAUGUAAAGACUCUGCAAGGAUCUUAUAGUUUCAUGAGCAUGCUUUUUUCUGAUACAAGGCAGCAGAACUCUCAACCUUGUUCAGAAAGGGAGAUGAAAGCUGAUAUGAACCCAUCCUUCAUGGUCUGUGUCCUGUCAUUGACUUGUGGCUUCAAUGACAUUAAUAUUUGGGUCAACAUCCUAUAGGCUAUAUGAGUGUGAUGAAAAUUUGGUUUCAAUACUGAUGCAUGUAUCAGUCAAGAGUCAGUAAUGACAAGAUAUAUGAUAGAUGCAUGGAUGUAUGAGUUCUAUUUGAUCCACCAUUUGUGAGAUCUGACCAUGGACUGGUGUUUGAUGUGGUAAAAUGCUUUCUUUGUACAAAAGCUUAGAGAGGAAAAGGAACAGUUUUUUUUUUUUAUUUCCCUCAACCUUCUAAUAAUAUAAUUUCAUUAUAGUAAGAGAUUUGAUGCACCAUUAAUCUUAUCUUUUUGAAAGGAUAUUUACUUUAUUAGCUGCAUUAAAAAUCAAAUCAAUCAGAAAUCUAGAUAUGAAUUCACCAAUAUAAUAUAAAUAUGUCAGAUAACUUAGUUGGUAUUAAUUUUGACAGUAGAUUAUAAGUUUCUGAACUCGAAUUCUGAUAAGUAAGCUGAAGGAGAGUAUUUUUUUAAAAUUUUUAAAAAUAUUCUUCUCAUCAUUUUAUAAAUAAUAAUCUUUUGGGUUGAUGAUAUGAAUUUUUUUUAGGUAUAAUGUGCAAACUUUCAAAAAAUGGGUGGAUUUGAUUUGGUGAUUGUGGAUCGAAGAUCAAUUUUAAUAUUGAUCAAUGUAAAACUUUGUAUUUGGAUAGUUAUUUAUAGAUUUUUUUAGCUAAAUGUCACUGUAAAAAAUUAAUAUUCGACCUUUUCUUUGAAGGAAAUGAAGAAAUAAGGAUUCAAACGGUUAUCAGACAAUUUCCGAAGGGGGUUUGCUAUAUUUAGAUCGAGAAACUGCCUUUGCUUGCUGCGUCUUCUUCCCCCGAGACUUGCUCUCGCCCUCUCUCUCGCUCUCUUUCUCUCUCUUUCUUUCUUUUCAGCACCAUAUACUCUCUCUCUUCCUCUCUGUUCCUCGAUCAUGUCGUCGCAGGAGAAGGGUCGGCCACUGCCCAAGUUUGGGGAGUGGGAUGUCAACAAUCCUGCUUCGGCUGAAGGAUUCACUGUCAUAUUCAACAAAGCUCGAGACGAGAAGAAGACAAGUAGUAGUAGCUCUGCUGCUCCAGCUUCACCAAGAAGAAAUGAUGUAGGUGGUCUGAAACCAGAAGUCACCUACCAAUAUCCAAGAAAAAGUAGCAAGUGGUUUUGCUGUGUGUAAGUGCUGCUGCCAGAGCACCGAGGGACGAGUUGUCAUCGUUCAUGGUUAAGAUGACUAGGUCGGCCUACUUCUACCUGUGAUGGUGCUGCCAUGUCUCAUGGUCUCUCUCUCUCUCUCUCUCUCUCUCCUUAUAUAUAUUUAUAUGUGCAUUGUAUGAGAACAAAAUAGGAGUGAUGGAUGGAGAACCUUUUGCAUAUAGUUUCUUUUGGCUUUGUUAUAUACUUUGUGGUGAGGGAAACUUCUAAUAACUGGGUGGGAGUUUUAUUGGGAUACUUCUCCAGUGAUUACAAGUUGACAACAAUGAUGAAUAAUGUUCCAACUGUCCUUGCCCAAA